UCGGAAUCAUCGCCUUCAAUCGUUUCCCACAUCUUCUUCACCUCAGGAUCAGCCUCGUAAUCCUCGGUGUCCUUCCACUCUUCCUCUACUUAAAUUUCUUUUCCCCUUCCACUUCUUUUCCUCACUUAUCCUCUUUCUUCCUCUUCCUCUUACCACCACAGUCUGAGUAAUCAUCCCUCACAAUUCCCUCAACAUCAUCUUCCUCACCAACUAAACCCUAUCGAACCCACCCUCAUCAUCCUCAAUACCGAAAUCUGAGAAACCAGAGUCCUUCCCUGGGGUUGAAGAGGAUAUUUUGAUCAAUCGCUUUCGGGAUUUUAUGAUUGCUCACGCUCAUUUUUAUUGUACUAGCCAUCAUCAUUUCCAUCCUCCAGGAGAUCGUGCCGACGCUUGUCAUUAUCAAAUUGGACAUCCUCGUCAAAAUCCAACUAUAGCUCACCAUCUUCAUUACGCUAAACGACAAUGGAAAAAUGCAUCAAACUGAUCGAGAGAGACACAAGACUUGAGGCAGGAAAAAGAGAGCACUUUUCAGGUUAAGCGAGUGAACUAAGAACAGUGGACAAGCUUUACUGCCUCAGAAAUAGGGAGUGCAAAUUUAUACACACUGAACUGUGACUACACAACAAAUAAGCAUGGAAUGUACAAUUUUGUCAGACAAACAUAAAUUAUCAUUAUUAUUUUGAACA